GCGGGCGUGGCGGAAUUGGCAGACGCGCUAGAUUUAGGUUCUAGUGGGAGACCGUGAGGGUUCAAGUCCCUCCGCCCGUA
rnacentral:tRNA from 1 species